AUGGAGCCAGCGUGUGCAGGCGGGCUCAACUACCUGCACAACUACACCGACCCUCCCUACGUGCACAGGAAUCUCAAGACCAGCAACAUCCUCCUUGACGCGUGCUUCCGCGCCAAGCUCUCAAACUUCGGCCUCGCGCGCGCGAUCACCGUCGACGCCGACGCCGAGGACGGCGGCCUGUGGAUGACCCGGAACGUGGUGGGCACGCAGGGUUACCAAGCGCCCGAGUACGUGGAGCACGGGCUGAUCGGCCCCCAGCUCGACGUGUUCGCGUUCGGCGUCGUCCUGCUUCAGCUUCUGUCCGGGAAGGAGGCGGCGGUGGCACUGAACGGCGACGGCGGCCCUGAGAACGACGGGAAGGUGGUGCUGCUUUGGGAGGAAGCGGAACGGCUGGGCCGCCUGAGCGAGGACGAUCUGCUGGACAGGGUGACGGCGUUCAUCGACGGCCGGCUGGACGGCCAGUACCCGUUGGACGUGGCGGUCGCCAUGCUCGCGUUGGCAUUGAGGUGUGUGGCUCGGCAGCCCCGGGCGCGGCCGCCCAUUGCCAAGGUGCUCCUUUCGCUGUCGGGGAUGUACAGUACAAUAGGACAUUAA
rnacentral:rRNA from 1 species